rnacentral:tRNA from 1 species
AUCCAAAUAGUUUAAUUAGAAUAAUAAUUUGUGGUGUUAUAGGUGUAUAUUACUUUGGAUU